rnacentral:rRNA from 1 species
CCUACGGGUGGCAGCAGUGGGGAAUAUUGCACAAUGGGCGCAAGCCUGAUGCAGCCAUGCCGCGUGUGUGAAGAAGGCCUUCGGGUUGUAAAGCACUUUCAGCGGGGAGGAAGGCGGUGAGGUUAAUAACCUCAUCGAUUGACGUUACCCGCAGAAGAAGCACCGGCUAACUCCGUGCCAGCAGCCGCGGUAAUACGGAGGGUGCAAGCGUUAAUCGGAAUUACUGGGCGUAAAGCGCACGCAGGCGGUCUGUCAAGUCGGAUGUGAAAUCCCCGGGCUCAACCUGGGAACUGCAUUCGAAACUGGCAGGCUAGAGUCUUGUAGAGGGGGGUAGAACUCCAGGUGUAGCGGUGAAAUGCGUAGAGAUCUGGAGGAAUACCGGUGGCGAAGGCGGCCCCCUGGACAAAGACUGACGCUCAGGUGCGAAAGCGUGGGGAGCAAACAGGAUUAGAUACCCGUGUAGUC